rnacentral:rRNA from 2 species
GACGGAGGAUGCAAGUGUUAUCCGGAAUCACUGGGCGUAAAGCGUCUGUAGGUGGUCAAAUAAGUCAACUGUUAAAUCUUGAGGCUCAACCUCAAAAUCGCAGUCGAAACUAUUAGACUAGAGUAUAGUAGGGGUAAAGGGAAUUUCCAGUGGAGCGGUGAAAUGCGUAGAGAUUGGAAAGAACACCGAUGGCGAAGGCACUUUACUGGGCUAUUACUAACACUCAGAGACGAAAGCUAGGGUAGCAAAUGGG